rnacentral:rRNA from 1 species
UACGGAGGGUGCAAGCGUUAUCCGGAUUUACUGGGUUUAAAGGGAGCGUAGGUGGGUUGGUAAGUCAGUGGUGAAAUCUUCGAGCUUAACUCGGAAACUGCCAUUGAUACUAUCAAUCUUGAAUUAUCUGGAGGUAAGCGGAAUAUGUCAUGUAGCGGUGAAAUGCUUAGAUAUGACAUAGAACACCCAUUGCGAAGGCAGCUUACUACGGAUAUAUUGACACUGAGGCUCGAAAGCGUGGGGAUCAAACAGG